GGGGAAUAUUGCACAAUGGGCGAAAGCCUGAUGCAGCGACGCCGCAUGAGGGACGACGGCCUUCAGGUUGUAAACCUCUUUCAGCAGGGACGAAGCGAAAGUGACUGUACCUGCAAAAGAAGCACCGGCUAACUACGUGCCAGCAGCCGCGGUAAUACGUAGGGUGCAAGCGUUGUCCGGAUUUAUUGGGCGUAAAGAGCUCGUAGGCGGUUUGUCGCGUCGGAUGUGAAAACCUAUGGCUUAACCAUGGGCCUGCAUUCGAUACGGGCAGACUAGAGUUCGGUAGGGGAGACUGGAACUCCUGGUGUAGCGGUGAAAUGCGCAGAUAUCAGGAAGAACACCGGUGGCGAAGGCGGGUCUCUGGGCCGAUACUGACGCUGAGGAGCGAAAGCGUGGGGAGCAAAC
rnacentral:rRNA from 1 species